rnacentral:rRNA from 1 species
GAUGAACGCUGGCGGCGUGCCUAAUACAUGCAGGUCGAGCGAACAGACGAGGAGCUUGCUCCUCUGACGUUAGCGGCGGACGGGUGAGUAACACGUGGAUAACCUACCUAUAAGACUGGGAUAACUUCGGGAAACCGGAGCUAAUACCGGAUAAUAUAUUGAACCGCAUGGUUCAAUAGUGAAAGACGGUUUUGCUGUCACUUAUAGAUGGAUCCGCGCCGCAUUAGCUAGUUGGUAAGGUAACGGCUUACCAAGGCAACGAUGCGUAGCCGACCUGAGAGGGUGAUCGGCCACACUGGAACUGAGACACGGUCCAGACUCCUACGGGAGGCAGCAGCAGGGAAUCUUCCGCAAUGGGCGAAAGCCUGACGGAGCAACGCCGCGUGAGUGAUGAAGGUCUUCGGAUCGUAAAACUCUGUUAUUAGGGAAGAACAAAUGUGUAAGUAACUAUGCACGUCUUGACGGUACCUAAUCAGAAAGCCACGGCUAACUACGUG